AGUCUAAUGAGGUGCAGCAAU
rnacentral:misc_RNA from 1 species